AGAGUUUGAUCCUGGCUCAGGACGAACGUUGGCGGUGCGCUUAAUGCAUGCAAGUCGAGGGAGAAGCAGACGUUCCGUAAGGUUCGACUGUGGAAACCGGCGAACGGGUGCGUAACACGUGAGAAACCUGCCCCCCAGAUCGGGAUAGCCCAGGGAAACUUGGAUUAAUACCGGAUACUCUCUUUGGAUCGCAUGAUCCAUUGAGGAAAAGUCCGCUGCUGGGGGAUGGUCUCGCGGCCUAUCAGCUUGUUGGUGAGGUAACGGCUCACCAAGGCUAAGACGGGUAGCUGGUCUGAGAGGACGAUCAGCCACACUGGAACUGAGAUACGGUCCAGACUCCUACGGGAGGCAGCAGCAGGGAAUAUUGCACAAUGGGCGAAAGCCUGAUGCAGCGACACCGCGUGCGGGAUGAAUGCCUUAGGGUUGUAAACCGCUUUCGUGAGGGAAGAAAAUGACGGUACCUCCUAAAGAAGCUCCGGCCAACUACGUGCCAGCAGCCGCGGUAAUACGUAGGGAGCAAACGUUGUCCGGAUUUAUUGGGCGUAAAGGGCUCGUAGGCGGUUCAACAAGUCGAUCGUGAAAGCCCGGGGCUCAACCCCGGGAGGCCGGUCGAAACUGUUGUGACUAGAGUUCGGUAGAGGUGAGUGGAAUUCUCGGUGUAGCGGUGGAAUGCGCAGAUAUCGAGAGGAACACCAUUAG
rnacentral:rRNA from 1 species